AAGCGUCGCGCAGGCGGUUUUGUAAGACUGUCGUGAAAUCCCCGGGCUCAACCUGGGAAUGGCGAUGGUGACUGCAAGGCUAGAGUUUGGCAGAGGGGGGUAGAAUUCCACGUGUAGCAGUGAAAUGCGUAGAUAUGUGGAGGAACACCGAUGGCGAAGGCAGCCCCCUGGGUCAAAACUGACGCUCAUGCACGAAAGCGUGGGGAGCAAACAGGAUUAGAUACCCCGGU
rnacentral:rRNA from 1 species